rnacentral:rRNA from 1 species
AUUGAACGCUGGCGGCAUGCUUUACACAUGCAAGUCGAACGGUAACAGGCCGCAAGGUGCUGACGAGUUGCGAACGGGUGAGUAAUGCAUCGGAACGUGCCCAGUCGUGGGGGAUAACGCAGCGAAAGCUGUGCUAAUACCGCAUACGAUCUAUGGAUGAAAGCGGGGGACCGUAAGGCCUCGCGCGAUUGGAGCGGCCGAUGUCAGAUUAGGUAGUUGGUGGGGUAAAGGCUCACCAAGCCAACGAUCUGUAGCUGGUCUGAGAGGAGGACCAGCCACACUGGGACUGAGACACGGCGCAGACUCCUACGUGAGGCAGCAGUGGGGAAUUUUGGACAAUGGGCGCAAGCCUGAUCCAGCAAUGCCGCGUGCAGGAAGAAGGCCUUCGGGUUGUAAACUGCUUUUGUACGGAACGAAAAGGUUUGGGUUAAUACCCUGGGCCGAUGACGGUACCGUAAGAAUAAGCACCGGCUAACUACGUGCCAGCCGCCGCCGUAAUAC